UUCACAGGCACGCCCCCGCGGGUAUAAAAGGACGCGAGCGGCCAUGAUUCUCUCUCUCUCCAAUCGGCAGCUCGGGAAGCGUGUGAAAUGGUUACGUGCUCUUCAUCGAAAUUGGUCAAGUAAGUGUCCAGGACGUCCACCGAAGUGAAGCCCAACAAUGUUUUAUAAACUCUAUCUGGUUCUUUUGUGUGUAAGAAUGUUGAAACCGGUUUAAAAUGUGUUUGUUUUUUUGUUUUUUUUUUAUAUAUUGUAGUAGUUCUGUUCAUAGGUCUGUGUUGGCACUAACCCUAUUUUUGCCAUGUUUAAAUUUGCUGUAAACUGGACCAAGAAACGUGUUUCUGUAUUUUGAGUAUCUUUUCUAAUAAACAAUGCGCUUUUAA